rnacentral:lncRNA from 1 species
UUUGAAUCGGCUAAAUUUUAUUAAUAGACAAAUCUCCUAAACAAGAAGUAUAAGACAUUGUCGGAUCAAACAAAGAAAGGUAAGGUAAUGAAAACACUUUAACCAAUCAAAAAGAACAAUAAAUCACCACAUCAAUCCACCCUUAACAAAACCUAAACAACACCAUGUAGAAUUCUAAAAUGACUCCUUGACGUCCUACUGCAACCCCAACCUAAAACCAUAGCAAAACACUGAAGUGAAGCAGAAUAGAAGUAUCUCCUGCCGAAAACACCAUUGUCGAACCAGACCCUUCCAAACAAAGAAAAAAGCCGUCAACUAAACACCCUUCACACAGAUCUGAGCAAACUGCAACCUACCAAAGCAUGUAGCAUGGUGGAGACCGCCGGAAGCCUCUGGUAUAAGCAAAAAGUCUACAUUUGCGAUCUGAUUGCGU